rnacentral:rRNA from 1 species
AAAAAUGUUCUUGGGGCCGCGACACGGCCGCGAUUACANCUGAAAGGGGGCCCCAACGGGAUAUUAAAUUUCCCUUGGGCCCCGGAAAAGGGCCCGGGGGGUAAAUUGUUGGUUUAAAACGUCCCUUCGUUCUGGGGGAAUUAGGAAGCCAUUUCCCAAAUUUAAUUUGGCUUUGUUUCAAAACGGAAGGGAAUUCACCUUAUUUGAAGCGCCAAGGUUCAAUUCAAGGCUUUGGCGGUUUGAAUUAACGGUCCCCGUGCCCCCUUUUUGGUAACCACAGCCCGGCCCGCGGUUCGGUUAACUUACCCGGAAUUUGAAAUGGGCUUCAGGUGGAAGGGCGGCUCAGUGAGGCGUCCGGACUGGCCCAGGGAGGUGGGCAACUACCACCCAGGGCCGGAAAGCUCUCCAAACUCGGUCAUUUAGAGGAAGUAAAAGUCGUAACAAGGUCUCCGUUGGUGAACCAGCGGAGGGAUCAUUACCGAGUUAUCCAACUCCCAACCCCUGUGAAUUAUACCUUUAAUUGUUGCUUCGGCGGGACUUCGCGCCCGCCGGGGACCCAAACCUUCUGAAUUUUUUAAUAAGUAUCUUCUGAGUGGUUAAAAAAAUGAAUCAAAACUUUCAACAACGGAUCUCUUGGUUCUGGCAUCGAUGAAGAACGCAGCGAAAUGCGAUAAGUAAUGUGAAUUGCAGAAUUCAGUGAAUCAUCGAAUCUUUGAACGCACAUUGCGCCCGUCAGUAUUCUGGCGGGCAUGCCUGUUCGAGCGUCAUUACGCCCCUCAAGUCCCCUGUGGACUUGGUGUUGGGGAUCGGCGAGGCUGGUUUUCCAGCGCAGCCGUCCCUCAAAUCAAUUGGCGGUCUCGCCGUGGCCCUCCUCUGCGCAGUAGUAAAACACUCGCAACAGGAGCCCGGCGCGGUCCACUGCCGUAAAACCCCCCAACUUUUUAUAGUUGACCUCGAAUCAGGUAGGACUACCCGCUGAACUUAAGCAUAUCAAUAAGCGGAGGAAAAGAAACCAACAGGGAUUGCCCCAGUAACGGCGAGUGAAGCGGCAACAGCUCAAAUUUGAAAUCUGGUCCCCAGGGCCCGAGUUGUAUUUGCAGAGGAUGCUUUUGGUGAGGUGCCUUCCGAGUUCCCUGGAACGGGACGCCAUAGAGGUGAGACCCCGUCUGGUUGGAUACCGAGCUUCUGUAAAGCUCUUCGACGAGUCGAGUAGUUGGGAAUGGCUGCUCUAAAUGGAAGUUUUUUUCUCUAAGCUAAAUUUUGGC